AAUAAAAUUGUUUAAAUUACGCAUGUAAAGAGUCUAGGCGAAGCUUAGAGGUGCCAGUUUAAAUGACGCUUGAAAGGAAAUUAAUAUUAUAUGCUGUGGUUUCAGGGCUGGAGUGAUUACGGGUUUCGACCCAGAAUUUCUUAGUAUUCAAAAAAAGGAAAAAAUAAUAUUCACGCAUGUGGUAGUAUAAUAUUUCGUGAAAAAAAUCUAGUU
rnacentral:sRNA from 1 species